rnacentral:rRNA from 1 species
GAUGAACGCUAGCUACAGGCUUAACACAUGCAAGUCGAGGGGAAACGGCAUUAAGUGCUUGCACUUUUUGGACGUCGACCGGCGCACGGGUGAGUAACGCGUAUCCAACCUUCCCAUGACUAAGGGAUAACCUGCCGAAAGGCAGACUAAUACCUUAUGGUCUUCACUGACGGCAUCAGAUGUGAAGUAAAGAUUUAUCGGUUAUGGAUGGGGAUGCGUCUGAUUAGUUAGUUGGCGGGGUAACGGCCCACCAAGGCAACGAUCAGUAGGGGUUCUGAGAGGAAGGUCCCCCACAUUGGAACUGAGACACGGUCCAAACUCCUACGGGAGGCAGCAGUGAGGAAUAUUGGUCAAUGGGCGAGAGCCUGAACCAGCCAAGUAGCGUGCAGGAUGACGGCCCUAUGGGUUGUAAACUGCUUUUGUAUGGGGAUAAAGUCAAUCACGUGUGAUUGUUUGCAGGUACCAUACGAAUAAGGACCGG